UACGUAGGGUGCAAGCGUUGUCCGGAAUUAUUGGGCGUAAAGAGCUCGUAGGCGGUCUGUCGCGUCGGCUGUGAAAACUCGGGGCUCAACUCCGAGCUUGCAGUCGAUACGGGCAGGCUAGAGUUCGGCAGGGGAGACUGGAAUUCCGGGUGGAGUGGUGAAAUGCGUAGAGAUCCGGAGGAACACCAAAGGCGAAGGCAGUGUCCUGGGGAGUACCUGACGCUCAGGUGCGAAAGCCAGGGGAGCGGAACGGG
rnacentral:rRNA from 1 species